AUGAACGUUGGCGGCGUGGAUUAGGCAUGCAAGUCGAGCGAGAACCCCGCAAGGGGGGACAGCGGCGCAAGGGACAGUAAUGUGUAGAUCAUCUGCCCUCAGGUCCGGGAUAGCUGCGGGAAACUGCAGGUAAUACCGGAUAACAUCUCCGGAUCAAAGGUGUGAUUCCGCCUGAGGAUGAGUCUACAUCCUAUUAGCUAGUUGGUAGGUAACGGCCUACCAAGGCAUUGAUGGGUAGCGGGUGUGAGAGCACGACCCGCGUCAUUGGGACUGAGACACUGCCCAGACACCUACGGGUGGCUGCAGUCGAGAAUCUUCGGCAAGUGGGCNCAAGCCUGACCGAGCGACGCCGCGUGU
rnacentral:rRNA from 1 species